AGUGAGUAAUGGAGCGGGUGGACAACUGUAGGUGGACAACUGGUGGGCUCCAACCAGCCCACAAUGACAGCAGGGAGUAUAUUCAGACACACCCAGAGAAAUCUGCCCAGGGUGAAACAAAUACCUUUGAGGUUAGAAUCAGGAAGGAGAGGCUGUUUCUACAGGUGUCAUAGAAAAAUCAAUACUGAGCCACGGAUUAUUGGAUCCCAUAGAACCAUGGAGACUUGGCAGUGAAAUUCUUCCAAAGCAUUCCAUUCGUGCAGGCAGGCAGUGUUCCUAGGUUUGGAUGUAUAAAUCCCAUGGGAAGUCAGCUGAAGAACAUUUUAUGCAUCACUCAUCCUGUUUUGAGCCCAGUGCUCUUCCAUCUCUCUAAAAGACUGACUGAAACGACAAUAACAAAAGUUGUUUAUAAUUUGUUCUCUAACUCUGGAUCACCUAAUUAGUAUCCUGAUUCUGAUUAUACCCGGUGAUAAUGCUUUAUAAAAAAGAAUAUUUAUUCAAAAGAUGUUACUGCAUUUUUAAUAAAAUCACAGGGAAAAUGCAACAUUUUG